UACGGAGGGGGCCAGCGUUGUUCGGAAUUAUUGGGCGUAAAGGGCGCGUAGGCGGUCGAGUAAGUCUGACGUGAAAUCCCUUGGCUCAACCAAGGAACUGCGUCUUAAACUGCUCGGCUUGAGUCCGGGAGAGGGUAGUGGAAUUCCCAGUGUAGCGGUGAAAUGCGUGGAUAUUGGGAGGAACACCGGUGGCGAAGGCGGCUACCUGGACCGGUACUGACGCUGAGGCGCGAAAGCUAGGGUAGCAAACAGG
rnacentral:rRNA from 1 species